rnacentral:rRNA from 1 species
UACGUAGGGUCCAAGCGUUAAUCGGAAUUACUGGGCGUAAAGCGUCCGCAGGUGGCUUGAUAAGAUAGAGGUGAAAUCCCUGGGCUCAACCUAGGAAUUGCCUUUAUGACUGUCUCGCUAGAGUAUGGGAGAGGGGGGUGGAAUUCCACGUGUAGCAGUGAAAUGCGUAGAGAUGUGGAGGAACACCGAUGGCGAAGGCAACCCCCUGGCCUAAUACUGACACUCAUGGACGAAAGCGUGGGGAGCAAACAGG